UAAAGAAAUAGAACCGAUAAGACAUCGUCCAAAUUACAUUUGUAGCUGGUGAUUAGUUGGAGUGUGAGAGUCAGUUUACGCCGCUUUUACUCCAAUACUCCAGCAAAAUCACGGCGGGGGAAUCCAGAAAUGGGCUACAUACUUUGGGGAAUCGACAUGACGUGACCAGCGAAAGCUCUAAACCACGAGGCUACCCUACCGUCCCGGGGGUGACUUAUCCCACACUUCAACCCGGUGAAAUACAGGUGCGAGAAAGAUGUUAAAGUACAAACUAUGACAACCUGUGCCACCGCAAUACCACCCCUCCCUCCUUCGGAUGCCCCUCCCACAAGAACAAUAUUUAAACAAGUCUUUUCAUAUUUCCAGGCCGUUCAGAUAUGCACUACUUGCAAGUGCACUCAACAAGAACAAAUACUAUACAAGCACUGUUCGGGCCAAGUGGAAACGCAUAACAAACUCAGCUUGCAACUGGACAGGACUAAGAUAGACUCGACUACAUAGAGACCACAGCUGCAGAGUACCUUAAUACCAUCGUCUGCACUGUGCCUUGCUCAGUUGGAUUCCAAUGCAAUUAAAGUAAUGAGGCAGACAAAGGACAGUCACAUCUGUGACAGACUGGGCCCCAUGCAGAAUGUGGACAGUGCAGCACAUCUCCUUGGUGACUAGGAAUACAUCUUGAAAUGUGAAAAAAGAUGAAUGUUUCACUCAUGUCACACAGUAUGUUAUAUGCAUCUAAAAAAUUAUUAAUGAGGUAAAAGUUUACGUCACAUCGGCAAUUGUUCGGACAUAUAGUGGCGAGAAACGUUUGGUUUUGUAAAACAAUGAAUUAUGUAACUUCUUUGAGUGGCGGGGCGGUGGGGUAGCCUAAUGGUUAAAGCGUUGGCUCGCCACG